AGGUCUUACAGGAUUGAAAAAUAUUGGAAACACUUGUUACAUGAAUGCAGCUUUACAAGCUCUUUCCAAUUGCCCACCCUUGACACAGUUUUUUCUUGACUGCGGGGGCUUAGCACGAACAGAUAAGAAACCAGCUAUAUGUAAAAGUUAUCUCAAGCUGAUGACAGAACUUUGGCACAAAAGCAGGUUGAAAAGAAUGAUUUGCCCAUUGCAGCUGUUCCUGUAGUUGAACCCAUAAUCAUGCAUAAUGGCAUUAGAUUUUCAUCCUAGGAAACAUGACAAGAUUGACUUCCUUACACAAUG